rnacentral:piRNA from 1 species
UGCCCAGAUGAUGCAGACAGCCC